rnacentral:tRNA from 1 species
AGGGCAGUAGCUCAGUUGGGAGAGCAGCGGUCUCCAAAACCGCAGGUCGGGGGUUCGAGUCCCUCCUGCCCUG